rnacentral:rRNA from 1 species
GAUGAACGCUGGCGGCGUGCCUAAUACAUGCAAGUAGAACGCUGAAGGAGGAGCUUGCUCUUCUGGAUGAGUUGCGAACGGGUGAGUAACGCGUAGGUAACCUGCCUGGUAGCGGGGGAUAACUAUUGGAAACGAUAGCUAAUACCGCAUGACAACAGUUAUUGCAUGAUAACUGUUUAAAAGGGGCAACUGCUCCACUACCAGAUGGACCUGCGUUGUAUUAGCUAGUUGGUGAGGUAACGGCUCACCAAGGCGACGAUACAUAGCCGACCUGAGAGGGUGAUCGGCCACACUGGGACUGAGACACGGCCCAGACUCCUACGGGAGGCAGCAGUAGGGAAUCUUCGGCAAUGGACGGAAGUCUGACCGAGCAACGCCGCGUGAGUGAAGAAGGUUUUCGGAUCGUAAAGCUCUGUUGUAAGAGAAGAACGAGUGUGAGAGUGGAAAGUUCACACUGUGACGGUAUUUUACCAGAAAGGGACGGCUAACUACGUG